AAGAAUACAUGGGGUACUUACCGUUUCUUUAUAUCUUCCUUGCCAUUAGCUCAAGUGGAUAUUUCUUCAGUAAAUGCUUGAGUUAGUUUGAUAAUUUCAGUAGCAUGUAUCAGAUUGGGUUGUGUUCGUUCUAAUACAGUUUGGGUUUUCAGAUAUUUUGCGUAUUAGCUAAGAGCUCCUAAUAGUUUGUUUUUCCUCUUUGCAGCUACUAUUUCAGUUAAAUAUUUGAUGUGCUAAAACAAUAAUGUUGAGAGAACUCGUUUCUCCAAUGAAAAAUAAUAGCUCAAGAAGGUGAUUUCAGAUCUUCCUUGUGAGGUACUUCAAAAAGAUGCCAAUGAUGCACAAUGAGGAGAUGCUUGGGCCUUGUGGCGUGCCUACGGCAGCAGCUCCCCUGGCAGUGCGGUGUUCUCAGCUGGAUUAGGGCGACCUUGCUAGCAAACUCGCCAUCUCUUUCCCUAGGUCAUUUUUUAUGGAUAUAUGGACUACAAUAGGUAGUGUUUCUCUGCUCGGGUGUCAUUGUCAUCGACGGGCCUCUCAACUGUCUCGAGAUCCAGACUCAUCCAACUCGCCGCCGUUUUUAUGGGACAUAAGAGAAUAUAUGAGAAGCUAGAAGAGAAUGGUACUGCAUAUUGGGUGAAGAAGACUGCAUAUGCCUACACUGGUUGAAUGUAGUGUUUAUCAAUCAUCCAUUUUUUUUUGAAGUGCAACCCACAUGCUCUGGCCUGUAGCAAGAAUAUAUAUGUAUAUAUGGAGGUAGGCUAAGAUUCAAAUAUUGCUGCCUUUUGCACUGCUCUCGUCUAUGGCAGGAAUAUAUAUGGAGCUAGGCCAAGAUUUAGAUAUUGAUGUCCAGGUCCCUGAGUUGGUUAAUGUUGAUUUUGCUCAGGCACGGUCCAUCUUAGGGAUCAACGAGAGGUGGCUCAAGCGAUACGGGAUGGCGGCGAGCAGCGGCGACCGCAGCGGACGGUGCAGCAUACUGGACAUGCUUUAGAAAUCACGGUCAAGACAACACGUCCUGGGGAGUGGUGCGCCUGUCAAGCGACAGCGUCUGAUUCCUACACAACAAGGUGAGCUUUUCCCAAAUCCUCUUUCUUUAUAUCUCUCUCUUUCCAUCAAGCUUGUGCGAUGUGCUAUACUUUCUCAUCAUUUAUUAGAUAUAAUUGUUGGCACUUUCAAGGACCCAUUACACCUCCCUGUGGAAUUACUUGAUAUGUUGUGCAGCGUGAGACCCAUUACACCCCCUGUGGACCCAUUAAACUUUCGAGGGCCUCAUAUAGUGUUGUGAGCCUUCCCCGUGGCCUCCUUUUUAGUCUAUUGAUUUGAGGCUACUGCUACCUACCGUGUAGUUUCAUGCCUACUAGAAGGACCCCGCGCGCUUUGCUGCGCCGUCCUUUGUUGUACAUGUUUUUAUUUUU